GGAGGAUGCGAGCGUUAUCCGGAUUUAUUGGGUUUAAAGGGUGCGUAGGCGGACAGUUAAGUCAGUGGUCAAAACGGGCGGCUCAACCGCCUGCCGCCGUUGAAACUGGCAGUCUAGAGUGGGCGAGAAGUACGCGGAAUGCGCGGUGUAGCGGUGAAAUGCAUAGAUAUUGCGCAGAACUCCGAUUGCGAAGGCAGCGUACCGGCGCCCGACUGACGCUGAGGCACGAAAGCGUGGGGAUCGAACAGGAUUAGAUACCCUGGUAGUCCACGCAGUAAACGAUGGACACUAUCUGUUCGGGUCGAAUGGGAGCUGAGUGGCACAGCGAAAGCGUUAAGUGUCCCACCUGGGGAGU
rnacentral:rRNA from 1 species